rnacentral:rRNA from 1 species
CCUACGGGGGGCAGCAGUGGGGAAUAUUGGGCAAUGGGCGCAAGCCUGACCCAGCAACGCCGCGUGAAGGAAGAAGGCUUUCGGGUUGUAAACUAUUGUCGUUAGGGAGGAUAAAAGACUGUACCUAAGGAGGAAGCCCCGACUAACUAUGUGCCAGCAGCCGCGGUAAUACAUAGGGGGCAAGCGUUAUCCGGAAUUAUUGGGUGUAAAGGGUGCGUAGACGGAAGAACAAGUUGGUUGUGAAAUCCCUCGGCUCAACUGAGGAACUGCAACCAAAACUAUUCCCCUUGAGUGUCGGAGAGGAA